UACGGGGGGGGGCAAGCGUUGUUCGGAAUUACUGGGCGUAAAGGCGCGUAGGCGGCCUACUAAGUCAGACGUGAAAUCCCUCGGCUUAACCGGGGAACUGCGUCUGAUACUGGAUGGCUUGAGUCGGGAGAGGAUGCGGAAUUCCAGGUGUAGCGGUGAAAUGCGUAGAUAUCUGGAGGAACACCGGUGGCGAAGGCGGCAUCUGGACCGUA
rnacentral:rRNA from 1 species